AUAGCCAUUUCAUCGCUAAUCUCUGCUAAAUAUUGGGGUUAAAUUGUGUUUUUUCUCUAUUUUGACACAUUCACAUAUAACAAGGUUUUUGUAAUGUGUAUUUCAUAAAGCUGGUGUGUGUUAUUCCUGCACAGAACCCCAUAUUGUGUUCAGCUACAUCUGCUGAGUAUAACGAUACCCCCAUUGUAUGCCUUUGGCACUAUUCUGUGCAGUUACAAUGCCAUAAAAGAG